CCCCCAUACCCUGUCUAUACCCUCUGUGCUUCAUCUACCCCCAUACCCUGUCUAUACCCUCUGUACUCCAUCUACCCCAUACCCUGUCUAUACCCUCUGUGCUUCAUCUCCCCCAUACCCUGUCUAUACCCUCUGUGCUUCAUCUUCCCCCAUACCCUGUCUAUACCCUCUGUGCUUCAUCUACCCCCAUACUCUGUCUAUACCCUCUGUGCUUCAUCUCCCCCCAUACCCUGUCUAUAUCCUCUGUGCUUCAUCUCCCC